rnacentral:rRNA from 1 species
AUGUACCGGGCGCAGCGCUACCGGGGUCGUGAUAUCUCCUUUGACAACCAUACCGUGGGUUUAGACUUGCUCCCGAAGCUGCUGGAUGACAAAGGCAUCCCUCAGCCCACCUUGGAAAGGAUCCACAUUGGUCAUCCUACCCUCAGCUUGCUCGAGGAUCACAUUGCCUACUUCAUGACCAAGGUCGACCACCUCCAGGGCUCUGAGGCAUGGGUGAUUGCUGUUGACAUGAAGAACAAGGUGCUGCGAGGAGUGUCCAACUUUGAUGGCGCAACAAGAAACCGCUGCAUGACUGAAGCCUAUAUGCACAGUAGCAUAUCUGGGCAUCUCAACAAUGCCCUAGGCACCAGGGUUCACCUUAAACGACCGGGGAUUCAAAUGCCGGAAUGGUGUACCAAGAAGGUCCAUCUGAUGGGUCAUGUGGGGGCCGAGUUAAUCGGUGGAUGCUCAAGUCAAACAGCUGAUGAUUACGGAGAGGAUACCAAGAACUUGGAUCAGAAUAGUUAA